rnacentral:rRNA from 1 species
UGGGGAAUUUUGGACAAUGGGCGAAAGCCUGAUCCAGCAAUGCCGCGUGUGUGAAGAAGGCCUUCGGGUUGUAAAGCACUUUUGUCCGGAAAGAAAUCCUUGGCUCUAAUACAGUCGGGGGAUGACGGUACCGGAAGAAUAAGCACCGGCUAACUACGUGCCAGCAGCCGCGGUAAUACGUAGGGUGCAAGCGUUAAUCGGAAUUACUGGGCGUAAAGCGUGCGCAGGCGGUUUGCUAAGACCGAUGUGAAAUCCCCGGGCUCAACCUGGGAACUGCAUUGGUGACUGGCAGGCUAGAGUAUGGCAGAGGGGGGUAGAAUUCCACGUGUAGCAGUGAAAUGCGUAGAGAUGUGGAGGAAUACCGAUGGCGAAGGCAGCCCCCUGGGCCAAAUACUGACGCUCAUGCACGAAAGCGUGGGGAGCAAACAGGAUUAGAUACCCUGGUAGUCCACGCCCUAAACGAUGUCAACUAGUUGUUGGGGAUUCAUUUCCUCAGUAACGUAGCUAACGCGUGAAGUUGACCGCCUGGGGAGUACGGUCGCAAGAUUAAAACUCAAAUGAAUUGACGGGGUCAUAGCUGUUUCCU